GAUGAACGCUGGCGGCGUGCCUAAUACAUGCAAGUCGAGCGAACAGACGAGGAGCUUGCUCCUCUGACGUUAGCGGCGGACGGGUGAGUAACACGUGGAUAACCUACCUAUAAGACUGGGAUAACUUCGGGAAACCGGAGCUAAUACCGGAUAAUAUAUUGAACCGCAUGGUUCAAUAGUGAAAGACGGUUUUGCUGUCACUUAUAGAUGGAUCCGCGCCCCAUUAGCUAGUUGGUAAGGUAACGGCUUACCAAGGCAACGAUGCGUAGCCGACCUGAGAGGGUGAUCAGCCACACUGGAACUGAGACACGGUCCAGACUCCUACGGGAGGCAGCAGUAGGGAAUCUUCCGCAAUGGGCGAAAGCCUGACGGAGCAACGCCGCGUGAGUGAUGAAGGUCUUCGGAUCGUAAAACUCUGUUAUUAGGGAAGAACAAAUGUGUAAGUAACUAUGCACGUCUUGACGGUACCUAAUCAGAAAGCCACGGCUAACUACGUG
rnacentral:rRNA from 1 species